rnacentral:rRNA from 1 species
CCCGCACAAGCGGUGAGCAUGUGGUUUAAUUCGAUGCAACGCGAAGAACCUUACCUGGGCUUGACAUCCCGAGAAUCUCCUGGAAACAGGAGAGUGCCUUUCGGGAACUCGGAGACAGGUGCUGCAUGGCUGUCGUCAGCUCGUGUCGUGAGAUGUUGGGUUAAGUCCCGCAACGAGCGCAACCCUUGUCUUUAAUUGCCAUCAUUAAGUUGGGCACUUUAAAGAGACUGCCGGUGUUAAACCGGAGGAAGGUGGGGAUGACGUCAAGUCCUCAUGGCCUUUAUGCCCAGGGCUACACACGUGCUACAAUGGGCGGUACAAAGAGAUGCAAGCUCGCGAGAGCAAGCCAACCUCAAAAAGCCAUCCUCAGUUCGGAUUGGAGUCUGCAACUCGACUCCAUGAAGUUGGAAUCGCUAGUAAUCGCGGAUCAGCAUGCCGCGGUCGAAUACGUUCCCGGGCCUU